GUGAAUCAUCGAAUUUUUGAACGCAAAUUGCACUCUUUGGUAUUCCGGAGAGUAUGCCUGUUUGAGGGUCAGUUUAAAUAAAAAUCGGUGUGGUUGCUGCCUUUCGUGGUGACGCACUGGAUGUGGGUCGUCUUGCCUUCGUUUAAGUGACCUAACUUUUUGCAUGAUUUUUUUGAACGUGUUUAACUGAUUUUACGUACGCUUGCGAUAUCGUCUACUACGUGCGACC
rnacentral:misc_RNA from 1 species